UUAUGGCCACAUCAUGUUGAAACACCGAUUCCUGUACGAUCACCAAAGUUAAGCAAUGUUGAGCCUGGUCAGUAUCUAGAUGAGUGAUAGCUUGGGAAUACCACGUGC